ensembl:lncRNA
GCAAGACGGAGCAAAAGAGCCAGAGGAGUGCAGGAAGAGACAGUGGAAGCGUGGGUCGGCCCCUGAGACAUGUACUGAGUGGAUGUGGAAUGACAGCACAAGCCCAAUUAGUCUUGGAUGCCAGGGCUGCUACAGGGAGGUCGGUGCAAGUGAUCAAGCCAUUCAUGCAUUCAAGCACUCGCCUGCAGGCAUUAUCCGCCAACAGCCUGGCUCGAGUAUUACCUCAUCCCACUCAGAGGCAAAGGAAGGCAUGCGCUCCAUGGAUGGUUGCCCAGAGCUGCAGUUAGAGACAGAGCCACUGCGGCCAGCCAGACUUCCAUCGUCCUCGCUGACGGGUGAUGCCAACAAGUCAGAGUCCGACUUGGACAAACUUCGAGUCAGCACCAGGUCCGCAGGUCUGACUUUGACUGCCACAGCUGAUGCAGACUUGGCUGAAACUUUACCUGACUCCUUGAUGUCAGCCUUUGGAUUCUGGAUCACCUUGACGCAGUUGGCAUUCGCCAUUGUUUUGGAGCUGCCAAGUGCAGUUCAGGAUCCUUAGUUUGCUGCAGUACUUUGACUUGUUUAGUCAGUCCAGAGAGUCGUCCAGAGUCUUUGUAGAACUUAAAAAGUUCUGGUGUUGGAAAACCAAUCACUGUUAGAGCUGAAAGAACCAGAUACAUGAAAUGUAAUUACAGAAGACUGAUUUAAUCUACCUGCACGCAAACAUGCUCCAACUCAUGCCAAGUGCUCUUGUUUAGAGGGAAACGGAGCAAAGAAGUGAGAGACUUAUUGUACACAGAAACAAUCAUCAGGGACCACCCACUAGUUGUAUCCUGUUGCCCUCCCCUUAGUGACUCGUUGCAUCAAAGAGUCCCUCUCCUGACUUUUUUGACACUCCUAGUUGCUGAGAUUAGAUUAUCUAUGUCACAUGUUCGUGUAGUCCUUGAAUGAAUGAAUAUUCUCAGAAGAAUCUAAACUAUAAUGGAAAGCUCCAGUGCAUUUCCAUGAGCACAUAAGACAAACAUACUACACACAGAUCAGUUCAGUACAUAGUGCUUUAAGGAGCAGGAUGCCUGACUUCAACUCACUAUCAGCUAAAACGAACUAAACUUUUAAGUGUGUACUCUUACCUGUUUGCUCAUUUAUGUCCAGUUCUCUCCCUGCUCCAUGUUCUUAUGUCCAUCCUGUUCUGUGGUUGUUUUCAGACUCUUCAAGAAGACAAGCUCGGUCCCGUAGUGAGGAUCAGAAGACGAGAGGAUCCCAAAGCCUGGCCUUAUUCAGAGUGACAGGUGGGGUAAUCAGGUUACUGAUGCACGUGGUGGCUGCUCCGUUUAAAAGCAGGGAGCGAUAGGAUUCCUCCUUUGUUGUCUAUGUUUGUGUGAGACUGAGAUUACUGAGCUUAGUUUUGUUAUAGUGGGUACAGUACAUGUGUAUAUUCAGAUCAUUGUCCAACCAGCAUAGAGUGCAUAUCAACUUAUACACAUCUAGUUUUUAUUUAAACUUGUAGUUUAAAGUUGCCCACAGUAAAAUAAUUUUUUUCUAAAUUAGCCUGUAAUUUUGAUCUAUAAUAAACUUUGAUGUACAUAAUUUACAUGCACAAGUUACUGCACAAUCUUGUCCCAUU